AAUGCAGAUCUUCCUGAUGUCAGAUUUACAUAAAUAUGUCAAAGUCUCAACCUCAUGCUGCCCUCCCCCAUCCUCCUAAACCUGUGGAUACAAAUGCAGAUUUCCUUAAUGU